rnacentral:rRNA from 1 species
AGAGCGAACGCUGGCGGCAGGCUUAACACAUGCAAGUCGAACGAUCCUUCGGGAUAGUGGCGGACGGGUGAGUAACACGUGGGAACGUGCCUUUAGGUUCGGAACAACACAGGGAAACUUGUGCUAAUACCGGAUGUGCCCUUCGGGGGAAAGAUUUAUCGCCUUUAGAGCGGCCCGCGUCUGAUUAGCUUGUUGGUGAGGUAAAGGCUCGACCAAGGCUACGAUCAGUAGCU